UACGGAGGGUGCGAGCGUUGUCCGGAUUUACUGGGCGUAAAGGGCGCGUAGGCGGCCGCGACAGUCGGUUGUGAAAGGGCGAGGCUUACCCUCGUCUUGGCGACCGGGACGUCGUGGCUGGAGCGCGGUAGAGGGAUGUGGAAUUCCGGGUGUAGUGGUGAAAUGCGUAGAGAUCCGGAGGAACACCAGUGGCGAAGGCGACAUCCUGGGCCGUGGCUGACGCUGAGGCGCGAGAGCGUGGGGAGCGAACCGG
rnacentral:misc_RNA from 1 species